rnacentral:misc_RNA from 1 species
GCGCUGUGCCUCGCGCUGGGCAUGCUGAGCUCGUGCCAGCAGCCGGCCGCCGCAGCCGCGAGCCGCAGGCACGACAGGGGCAGCGGAGCCGACCGGCCUCCACACAUCAUCAUCAUCGUGGCCGAUGACCUGGGCUGGAACGACGUGGGCUUUCACGGCUCGGGCCAGGUGCCGACACCCAACAUCGACGCGCUGGCCUUCAGCGGCGUCACGCUGGACCGCUAUUACGUGCAGCCCGUCUGCACGCCGUCGCGCUCGGCCCUCAUGACCGGCAAAUACCCCAUCCACACGGGCAUGCAGGAGCACGUAAUCCUGGCGGCCGAACCGUACGGCCUCUCGCUGCAGGAGACGCUGAUGCCGCAGAGACUGAACGCGCUCGGAUACGUCUCCCACGCGGUCGGCAAGUGGCACCUGGGCAGUUACAAAAAAGCUUACACUCCCUCUCAGCGAGGAUUUCAAUCCCAUUUCGGUUACUGGAGCGGGAAGAAAGACUAUUACGACCAUACGAAUGAAGAUCGGCACGGCUACUGGGGUUACGACCUGCGCCGCGACAUGGAGGAGGCGCGCGGCGCGUUCGGCCAGUACUCCACCGACCUGUUCACGCAAAAGGCCGUGGAGAAGAUUGUGGCGCACAACGCCUCGCGGCCGAUGUUCCUCUACCUGGCGCACCUGGCGGUGCACUCGGCCAACGAGUACGAGCCGCUGCAGGCACCGGCCGCCUCCAUCGACAAGUUCUCCCACAUUGCCGACGGCAACAGGAGACGCUUCGCCGGAAUGCUGUCGAAGUUGGACGAGUCGGUGGGCCAGGUGACGGCCGCGCUGCACGAGACCGGCAUGCUGGACAACAGCGUCAUCGUGUUCACCACUGACAACGGCGGGCCGGCCGCCUCCUUCGACUUCAACGCCGCCUCCAACUGGCCACUGAGGGGGGUGAAGAGCCUGCUGUGGGAGGGAGGCGUCCGCGGAGCCGGCUUCGUGUGGAGCCCGCUGCUGAAGCAGCGCUCGUAUGUGUCCAGCAACCUGAUGCAUAUCACCGACCUGCUGCCGACCCUGCUCUCGGCGGCGGGUGGUGAUCCAGGCACUCUCGGCGAUAUCGAUGGCAUUGACAUGUGGAGUGCAUUAUCCAACAAGCUCCCGUCGCCCAGAAAGGAAAUUCUACUUAACAUUGAGCCUAGCACGGGAUACCGGGCAUUGAUCGAAGGCAACUUUAAAUUUAUUGAGGGCUCAAGCCUGAACGAGGGUUGGAGCGGCUGGUUCGGCCCAUCCGGCAGGAACGACACCCGGUAUGAUCUCUACCAGCUGAUGAGCACGUCUCACGCCGGCCGCGCCAUGCGCCAGAUGAACAUGUCGGUCACCGAGGACCAGUGGAAAACGCUGAGGAGCCAGCAGAGCAUCACGUGCCAGAAGAAGCCGUCACCGCGGCGCACGUGCCUGAAGACCGCCUGCCUGUUCGACCUGCUGCGGGACCCGUGCGAGUACAGCGACCUGUCGGCGGCCAUGCCGGCCGUCACGAGCAAACUGCGCCGCCGCAUGGAGGAGUUCCAGCGCGGCAUGGUGCCGCCCCGCAACAAGCCAGUCGACCCGCGAGCCAACCCCAAGAACUGGGGCUAUGCCUGGGUCAACUGGGGCGAUCUCGUGCACCCACCCCUGCCCUAGGAGUGACCGGCACAGCCUAAGGCCGCUGCCGGAGUGUCAGGCUAAAGCGACGAGGCUGUGACAUGGAGCAAGGUCGGUGUCGCGGAGGGCGGGGUGGCUUUGAUACUCGUUGCUCCGAGUGCGAGCCUUGAUAAAACCUGCCUGUUGCCUUGUGUGACGGCUGAGCUCCUUGUAUAGCGUAUAUCCAAAAGAUGCCACGAAGCAUAGCGAGAAUGUAAUGCUUUACUGAAUGGCGAAGGUAGUGGUAAUUUAAUUGGAUAUCGGUGGGUUGAGGGCGGAACCAUUUGUAGGCGGUGUGGCGCCUGAAUAAUCAUGCCCUGUCUGUGAUUAUGAGCCGCAGGACGCGUGUUAUGAAAGAGUAUUGAGCAAAAGCUCGACUUUUUUGGCAAAAACAGCUCUGCGCAAAAAGGCUGAGGAAGGAAUACGACGCCACCUGCGCCAUUGCAUCGUGGAUAAGUAGCACUUUGGUGGUUUCCAACCAAGUUACUGUAAACGCGCCGAGCUACGACUUCCUAAACGGGCGGGCGUUUUUACCACGAAGGUAUGGCGUUUUCAUCCUGUUUAGGGCAACGUCGAGAGCAGCCUUAAGUUUUGCUAUCACAACUGAAAGCGUGCGUACUAAUUGUGCCAUCUCCUAAACAAUCACAGCAUGACUUACCCCACUCGUGUAACGCGACUUCGCACAUACACGCAGUUUUUCUUGCAGUCUUUCUUAACGGAAAGGCGAUUCUCGCAUUUCUUCAUGCGUUUCCGGUCUAUCUUUACAUGUUUGCAUCAUAUGUACACCCACCUCCGGUGACAGCAGCGAAUCAGCCAUUCCACGAAUAUGGGCGACGAUGGAAUCGUAGCAUGGAACAAUCUAAUCAUUACGGUG